rnacentral:rRNA from 1 species
UACGAAGGGGGCUAGCGUUGCUCGGAAUCACUGGGCGUAAAGGGUGCGUAGGCGGGUUUUUAAGUCAGGGGUGAAAUCCUGGAGCUCAACUCCAGAACUGCCUUUGAUACUGAAGAUCUUGAGUCCGGGAGAGGUGAGUGGAACUGCGAGUGUAGAGGUGAAAGUUCGUAGAUAUUCGCAAGAACACCAGUGGCGAAGGCGGCUCACUGGCCCGGUACUGACGCUGA